AGACUUACAGCCGGUUUCCGAAACGUUAUUCAAAUCUUCGAUCAUCUAAUCGAGCUGUUAGAUUUGAUCAACUGUUAACCAGUGACGAGUUUCUCAAACGUCGAUCAUCUUAAAAUUAUAUGAUCGUAGAAAAUCGAUUAUCUGACAUACGAUUUGGUAUCGAUACUGUCACAAUCGGCUGUCAUCCUUCAAAAUUUCAUUUUAUAACCAAAAAAUUUCAAUCCAUAGUAAAUAACUACAUAAUUUAUAUAAUUAAAAAAUAUAUUAAAAAUGAGCAAUACCAACGGAAAUCCUCCACGCAAAAAUUAUACUGAGAGAGAGAGAGAAAUGUUUGCUGUUGGAAAUAAUUGGAAAAUACAAGCAUAUUAAAUUGAAAACAAAUAAUGUACCAAUGCUAUGUCCACCAACCAAAACAAUGAAACCUGGGAAGAAAUAGCGCUGAAUUUCCCAGAACUCCCAAGCAGCUGAACACUGCAUAUAUAAACUUAAAAAGGGUCACUAGCCAAAAAGUAGCAGAGGAAAAUAUAAGUGUAUAAAACUUUCGGUUGAUUUAGAGCUAUAUGGAUUAAUUACAUUGCAGAUUCAAAAAUAUAAUGAGCAGAAGGUUUUGGACCAGUUGAAGAGAGACCAAACUGCGGACAAAAAAGACAUACUUGCAACAGGUGGUGGCACAUUUAGGCCUCGUCUCACAGAUGUAGGGGCACAAAUGUUGAGUUUGAUUGGCAAUCAAAUCCAACCUUUACCCAACAGUUGUGACAGUGCAUCUGGUUUCUUCACAUCUGUUGCACAAGACAGUCAAGUGGAAGUAGAUUACCUACAAUUGGAAGACACAUAGCAGACAUCCAAUGUACCCUCUACUUCCACUGUGCUGCUCAGUACACCCACGACAACUGCUGUCCUGCCCAAGAAGACAGCCAAGAUGUCUCAGGCUCGUUCAAAAAAUAAAAAAGUAAAAGAUGUAGGGAGCGAAACCCUUAAUGUAUCUUUUACAAAAAAAAUUGAAACAGCAAGACUAGAAAAAAGAAGUAAGAUAGUAUUUUUCAACAAGAAAAAAAGAAAUUUUAGAAGUAGAGCUUCAAAUAAAAAAAUUCGAUCUCAAUAAAUUAUUCGGUAAUAGUGGUUAGGUAUGUACCUAAUAAAGUAAUUUUAAAUAAAAAUUGUAAUUUCUUUAAAUAAUAAAAUUAAUAAAAAAUG